rnacentral:rRNA from 1 species
AGAGUUUGAUCCUGGCUCAGGACGAACGCUGGCGGCGCGCCUAACACAUGCAAGUCGAACGAGCGAGAGAGAGCUUGCUUUCUCGAGCGAGUGGCGAACGGGUGAGUAACGCGUGAGGAACCUGCCUCAAAGAGGGGGACAACAGUUGGAAACGACUGCUAAUACCGCAUAAGCCCACGGCUCGGCAUCGAGCAGAGGGAAAAGGAGCAAUCCGCUUUGAGAUGGCCUCGCGUCCGAUUAGCUAGUUGGUGAGGUAAUGGCCCACCAAGGCGACGAUCGGUAGCCGGACUGAGAGGUUGAACGGCCACAUUGGGACUGAGACACGGCCCAGACUCCUACGGGAGGCAGCAGUGGGGAAUAUUGCACAAUGGGGGAAACCCUGAUGCAGCGACGCCGCGUGGAGGAAGAUGGUCUUCGGAUUGUAAACUCCUGUUGUUGAGGAAGAUAAUGGCGGUACUCAACAAGGAAGUGACGGCUAACUACGUGCCAGCAGCCGCGGUAAAACGUAGGUCACAAGCGUUGUCCGGAAUUACUGGGUGUAAAGGGAGCGCAGGCGGGAAGACAAGUUGGAAGUGAAAUCCAUGGGCUCAACCCAUGAACUGCUUUCAAAACUGUUUUUCUUGAGUAGUGCAGAGGUAGGCGGAAUUCCCGGUGUAGCGGUGGAAUGCGUAGAUAUCGGGAGGAACACCAGUGGCGAAGGCGGCCUACUGGGCACCAACUGACGCUGAGGCUCGAAAGUGUGGGUAGCAAACAGGAUUAGAUACCCUGGUAGUCCACACUGUAAACGAUGAUUGCUAGGUGUUGGAGGAUUGACCCCUUCAGUGCCGCAGUUAACACAAUAAGUAAUCCACCUGGGGAGUACGACCGCAAGGUUGAAACUCAAAGGAAUUGACGGGGGCCCGCACAAGCAGUGGAGUAUGUGGUUUAAUUCGACGCAACGCGAAGAACCUUACCAAGUCUUGACAUCCUGCGACGGACAUAGAAAUAUGUUUUUCCUUCGGGACGCAGAGACAGGUGGUGCAUGGUUGUCGUCAGCUCGUGUCGUGAGAUGUUGGGUUAAGUCCCGCAACGAGCGCAACCCUUAUGGUCAGUUACUACGCAAGAGGACUCUGGCCAGACUGCCGUUGACAAAACGGAGGAAGGUGGGGAUGACGUCAAAUCAUCAUGCCCUUUAUGACUUGGGCUACACACGUACUACAAUGGCGUU